CGCUUUGUGGUGCCCUCAUCUCCACUAGAGUCGAUGCUGGACUCACGCUUGAUUAGGGAGUUGAUAAACAGGGGAGAGAGCUAUACUUUUCCAUGGUAGGAGCUUGUGCACAUGGAGGGUGAUUAUGCGCAGGGCUUGCUUCCCUCUCUGGCUCCUCCACCCCGUCUUCCUGAGACGACUAUUCGCCCUGUGGGGAGGAUCGAGAUUCCGCCUCAGUCUGUCCGCUACCCGGGGUCCAUAUUGCUGACACGCCAGAGGGUUACAGACAGGCGCAUGAGUCUCUGCCCGAGGUCUUUGAGCCGCCUAACCGCCCGGAGAUGAUGGG